rnacentral:rRNA from 1 species
GACAGAGGGUGCAAACGUUGUUCGGAAUUACUGGGCGUAAAGCGCGUGUAGGCGGCCCUGCAAGUCGGAUGUGAAAGCCCUGGGCUCAACCUAGGAAGUGCACUCGAAACUUCGGAGCUGGAGUCCUGGAGAGGAAGGCGGAAUUCUCGGUGUAGAGGUGAAAUUCGUAGAUAUCGAGAGGAACACCGGUGGCGAAGGCGGCAUUCUGGACCAAUACUGACGCUGAGGAGCGAAAGCCAGGGGAGCAAACGGG